GCGCAGCAGGCGCGAAUCCUUCGCAAUGCGCGAAAGCGCGACGAGGGGACUCCGAGUGCCUAUGCUCAGCAUAGGCUGUUCACCGGUGUAAAAGCCGGUGGAGGAAGGGGUGGACAAGACUGGUGCCAGCCGCCGCGGUAAUACCAGCGCCCCAAGUGGUGAUCGAUAUUAUUGGGUCUAAAACGUCCGUAGCCGGCCCGGUAAAUCUCCGGGUAAAUCGUCCAGCUUAACUGGUCGAAUUCUGGGGAGACUGCCGGGCUUGGGACCGGGAGAGGUCGGAGGUACUCCAGGGGUAGGGGUGAAAUCCUGUAAUCCCUGGGGGACCACCGGUGGCGAAGGCGUCCGACUAGAACGGGUCCGACGGUAAGGGACGAAGGCUAGGGGAGCAAACGGGAUUAGAUACCCCCGUAGU
rnacentral:rRNA from 1 species